CCUACGGGAGGCAGCAGUGGGGAAUAUUGGACAAUGGGCGAAAGCCUGAUCCAGCAAUGCCGCGUGAGUGAUGAAGGCCUUAGGGUUGUAAAGCUCUUUCACCGGGGAAGACGAUGACGGUACCCGGAGAAGAAGCCCCGGCUAACUUCGUGCCAGCAGCCGCGGUAAUACGAAGGGGGCUAGCGUUGUUCGGAAUUACUGGGCGUAAAGCGCGCGUAGGCGGUUAGCCAAGUCGGGGGUGAAAGCCCGGAGCUCAACUCCGGAACUGCCUCCGAGACUGGCUGGCUUGAGUGUGGAAGAGGGUCGUGGAAUUCCCAGUGUAGAGGUGAAAUUCGUAGAUAUUGGGAAGAACACCAGUGGCGAAGGCGGCGACCUGGUCCAUAACUGACGCUGAGGCGCGAUAGCGUGGGGAGCAAACAGGAUUAGAUACCCUGGUAGUCCACGCCGUAAACGAUGAGUGCUGGAUGUUGGGCGGUUACCGCUCAGUGUCGUAGCUAACGCGAUAAGCACUCCGCCUGGGGAGUACGGCCGCAAGGUUAAAACUCAAAGGAAUUGACGG
rnacentral:rRNA from 1 species